rnacentral:misc_RNA from 1 species
AACCUUAUGGACCUGCGGGCGUAUACCUGCGGAGGGAUCAUUAACGCGUCUCCGACGGCGAGGGCGCGCCCCAGCUCCGGGCCGAAAGGCCGCGCUGCGGGGCGGCCCGAGCCGCUCGACCUUUGCGAACCCGCUGUGCACUUUUGUCGGCAGAGGCCCCCCCGGGGCCCGAGCCGGAAUCACAAACCCACUCGAAUCGAACGCUGAGCGGCCCCCGUGCCGCCUAAACUUUGACAACUU